AUUGAACGCUGGCGGCAUGCUUUACACAUGCAAGUCGAACGGCAGCGCGGGCUUCGGCCUGGCGGCGAGUGGCGAACGGGUGAGUAAUGCAUCGGAACGUGCCCAGUAGUGGGGGAUAGCCCGGCGAAAGCCGGAUUAAUACCGCAUACGACCUGAGGGUGAAAGCGGGGGACCGAAAGGCUUCGCGCUAUUGGAGCGGCCGAUGUCGGAUUAGCUAGUUGGUGGGGUAAAGGCUUACCAAGGCGACGAUCCGUAGCUGGUCUGAGAGGACGACCAGCCACACUGGGACUGAGACACGGCCCAGACUCCUACGGGAGGCAGCAGUGGGGAAUUUUGGACAAUGGGGGCAACCCUGAUCCAGCCAUGCCGCGUGCGGGAAGAAGGCCUUCGGGUUGUAAACCGCUUUUGUUCGGGAAGAAAUCCUCUGGGCUAAUACCCCGGGGGGAUGACGGUACCGGAAGAAUAAGCACCGGCUAACUACGU
rnacentral:rRNA from 1 species